UACGUAGGGGGCAAGCGUUGUCCGGAUUUAUUGGGCGUAAAGAGCGUGUAGGCGGCUAGAUAGGUCCGUUGUGAAAACUCGAGGCUCAACCUCGAGACGUCGAUGGAAACCAUCUGGCUAGAGUCCGGAAGAGGAGAGUGGAAUUCCUGGUGUAGCGGUGAAAUGCGCAGAUAUCAGGAAGAACACCCGUGGCGAAGGCGGCUCUCUGGUACGUGACUGACGCUGAGACGCGAAGGCUAGGGGAGCGAACGGG
rnacentral:rRNA from 1 species